rnacentral:lncRNA from 1 species
AGUUUAAAUAGGCGCUCACCUGUAUAACGAGAGGAAUAAUUUUCAUGUCUUAGUUUAAAUAGGUGCCCACCUGUAUAACGAGAGGAAUACUUUUCAGUCUUAGUUUAAAUAGGCGCCCACCUGUAUAACGAGAGGAAUAUUUUCAGUCUUAGUUUAAAUAGGCGCACAUCUGUAUAACGAGAGGAAUAAUUUUCAUGUCUUAGUUUAAAUAGGCGCCCACCUGUAUAAUGAGAGAAAUAUUUUCAGUCUUAGUUUAAAUAGGCG